CUUUGGCAAGACAUAUACUUACUAAAAUUGGAAUAACACAAGAAGAUUGGCAUGGCCUCUGUGCAGUAUGACGUGAAUAUUUGUGAAGCAUUCUAUUUUUUA
rnacentral:snRNA from 1 species